GCAAGUUGAGCGGUAACGCCCCUUCGGGGGUACCCGUGCAGCGAACGGGUGAGUAACGCGUGGGUAAUCUACCCAUGAGGUGGAGUUUAGCCUCGGGAAACCGGGGGUAAUACUGCAUACGCCUCGACUGACAUAAGUCUAACGAGGGAAAGGCGGGGAUCUUCGGACCUGUCGCCUCUGGAUGAGCCCGCGUCCGAUUAGCUUGUUGGUGGGGUAAUGGCCUACCAAGGCAUCUAUCGGUAGCCGGCCUGAGAGGGUGAAC
rnacentral:rRNA from 1 species